UCAGCACGACAUCGAUGGCGACGCCAGUAAUUCUGGCGUGUGGAGAUAGGCUGACGAAAGUCAGGCCAGCAUAAGCUGCGAAUGGGGAACACCCAUGGUAUCUCGCAUGAGUUCAACAUUUCGCCCCUCGGUGCACAGAUGUCUGCUG
rnacentral:sRNA from 14 species